rnacentral:rRNA from 1 species
GGACGAAAGCCUGACGGAGCAACACCGCGUGGUUGAUGACGCCUUUAGGGGUGUAAAGACCUUUUCUGAGUGAAGAACUUUGACGGUAACUUAGGAAUAAGCACCGGCUAACUCCGUGCCAGCAGCCGCGGUAAUACGGAGGGUGCAAGCGUUACCCGGAAUCAUUGGGCGUAAAGCGUCCGCAGGCGGUUUGAUAAGUAAGAUGUUAAAUUUUGCAGCUCACCUGUGAAUCUAUAUCUUAAACUAUUAAACUAGAGUAUUGGAGAGGUGCGUAGAAUUCUGUGU